rnacentral:rRNA from 1 species
CGGUGGAGUAUGUGGUUUAAUUCGAUGCAGCGCGAAAACCUUACCUGCCCUUGACAUCCUCGGAACUUGUCAGAGAUGACUUGGUGCCUUCGGGAACCGAGAGACAGGUGCUGCAUGGCUGUCGUCAGCUCGUGUCGUGAGAUGUUGGGUUAAGUCCCGUAACGAGCGCAACCCUUGUCCAUAGUUGCCAGCACGUAAAGGUGGGAACUCUAUGGAGACUGCCGGUGACAAACCGGAGGAAGUGGGAUGACGUCAAAUCAUCAUGCCCCUUAUGUUCUGGGCUACACACGUGCUACAAUGGCCGGUACAGACGGAGGCGAAGCCGCGAGGCGGAGCAAAUCCGAAAAAGCCGGUCUCAGUUCGGAUUGCAGGCUGCAAUUCGCCUGCAUGAAGUCGGAAUCGCUAGUAAUCGCAGGUCAGCAUACUGCGGUGAAUACGUUCCCGGGCCUU